CGGCGGACGGGUGAGUAACGCGUGGGUAACCUGCCUCAUACAGGGGGAUAACAGUUAGAAAUGGCCGCUAAUACCGCAUAAGACCACGGUACUGCAUGGUACAGUGGUAAAAACUCCGGUGGUAUGAGAUGGACCCGCGUCUGAUUAGGUAGUUGGUGAGGUAACGGCCCACCAAGCCGACGAUCAGUAGCCGACCUGAGAGGGUGACCGGCCACAUUGGGACUGAGACACGGCCCAG
rnacentral:rRNA from 1 species